AGAGACUUAGGUUAGCACAAGACCAAGAGCCUUCAAAGCCCUAAGCGAGAGUGAAAAUCUCUCAGUCCCUG
rnacentral:tRNA from 1 species